CCUCUCCAUUUCACCCCUUCAUCUCGAUUUGAAGAAACAGCUUCGCUUCCAUUAAUCUCUUCUGCUACUAUUAAGAUAGAUGAUUCUACCCUAAUACCUAUUUCGACGGUGAUGAUGAAAACCCUUCCGUUUUUCUUUAUCGCCCACAUACAACUUCUCUUCCUCUUUACUCUCUUUUUCUUCUUUUACGAUCCAACUCCACAGCCACAACCCAUAAUCCUUAUGUUUGAGCACCACUAUCAUCACUGAUUCAACCGCCACUAGGACUACCUUCUUCUUCUUCUUCUUAGAACUCGAUCUCUUGUUGAAUCUCUUUAGUUGAAACUGUAUUUCUAUUUGUUUUCCAGGGUUUCAAAUAUGGAGAUGAGCAAGAGAUUACUUUGAUUGAUCUACAGGAGGAUUUGAAAAACACAUGUAACAAACCAUUUCCCAAUUUAAAGUCGUUCCUAAUCAGUUGAUAGAAGACUUUCAGGUUCAGUGGCUUGAAUUUGUGAACAAUUUGAAGUCUUAUUCAUUGUUCUUAUUUUUCAAUUUUAAUUUCAGAAGCAGGAACUCCCAUAGGUAUUUCAAUUUGUGAAUCUUCUCCCUUUGCCUUCGCAAACUAUAGCUAUUCUCAUGCCUUCAGGGACGUAAUGUUGUAAUAGAACAAAUCUUUGGUGCACCUAAAGUGACUAAAGAUGGUAUCAAGCAUUGAGUUUAAGGACAGAGUUAAGAACAUUGGUACCAGCCUUGUAAAGCAAGUAGCAAAUGCCACCAACAAUGUAGCUGGUGAUGGAAACUACACUAUUGCAACUCAGAAGCUAAAAUGGAAAACAACAUCAGAAAACACCAGUUCACAAAUAUUGAAGGAAGUUUCACUGCUUCGUUCCUGUCAUUGUUAACAAUCUUUGCGUCAAUGCCCUUACUCCGCAGAGGAAGACGCUGACGUCGACUUCUAACAAACUCCCCUUAACAAACUACAGCUCUAUAGAUUUCCACAUUCAACUCAAAUGUAUAUUGGUUAUCGUGAAGCUUUCCAUUUAGGUUUUGGUUAAGCUAGAAUGUAAAAGAUGGCAAAGCAAAGGAAUUAACAUCAUAUAUGAAAUCAGAGACAAUCGACUUGGCUAUAAAUCCGGUGUACUUAAAGAAGGAAUGAAACGUAGUUACGUUAUGCAUUGUGAUUAUGUUGCCAUCUUUGAUGCUGAUUUCCAACCUGAACCUGAUUACUUAUGGAGAACUAUCCCUUUCCUUUAUCAUAAUCCUGAAAUUGCUCUUGUUCAAGCUCGAUGGACUUUUGGUGGCGAAGAUUAUCGCAGACUGUAUGCGUAAUUAUCUUCUAUUUGAGUACUUGUUGCAAGUUCAUAUUGUUCCAUCAGAGAAAAUCCAUCCUGAACUGUAAGCAAUUUUUUUGAUUUAUCCAAGUAUUGUAUGUAACAAACAUAGUUGCACCUCUGAAUUCUUUCAGUUGUGCUCUUUUUUAGUACAUUUUACACCUGAUUUCUUAAUGCAACU